rnacentral:misc_RNA from 1 species
CCCAUAAACCCCCUCACAAAGAUCCGCAAUCUCAGUCGGCGCCGUCGGAUCCUCUCCAGCAUACCAAGCAUUCACCAACGGAUUCGUCGACAACUCCGCCAGUUCGUGCCCGAUAACACUAAUCAUCCCAUCCACACCAACAUCCCCAUUCGGGGGCGCCAUCGCUUUCUCCGCCCCCGCCAUGUAACUCGGUACCGCAAACGGGUACGCGCACACCUCCGGGCACUGCCGGCCGCUGUCGCCGAUCCAGGCGUACGGCAGCGUAUGUCCGACGAUUGAUGAAAAAGUGAAGUAAUGGAAACCGCAAACAGCCCUGCAGAAUUCUUGCACAGUAACCUCCUCGGCGGUGAGCACGAGGUAGACUCCGUGACGGUGAUCUAUCGGUAACUUCUUUGAAUUAACGGCAUCGGCGAUUACCUGCUGGAUUGAGAGCCGCGUGAGGGAAGUGCCGCGGGAGUAGUUGCGGUCGGCGGCUUCGCCGGCGAGGGUUAGGGUUUUGGUGACGUUGGCGUUGGUUUGGUCGGCGUAGAGCGCGACGGUGGACCACCACCGGGCGGCGGAGGGGGCAGCGGGGACGGGGUCGGAGAGGGAGAGGAGGAACUCGCGGAUCGGGACUUGUUUGACGCGGGACCAGCGGCCGUACCAGAUGAGGUAGAGGUUGAUCGGGGAGGAGAGGACCGGGCCCAUGUGGUAGCGGAGGUGGAUGAGGUCGGAGGAGCCUUCGAAUCGCUUGGAGGAGGCGAGGUCGGCGGUGGUGGAGGGGGUGACGUGGUGGGCGGCGAGGUUUAGGGUUUGGGUGGGGCGGUGGGGGUAGGGGGAGG